GAUCCUGGCUCAGGAUAAACGCUGGCGGCGCACAUAAGACAUGCAAGUCGAACGGACUUAACCGUUAGUUUACUAAUGGAGCGGUUAGUGGCGGACUGGUGAGUAACACGUAAGCAACCUGCCUAUCAGAGGGGAACAACAGUUAGAAAUGACUGCUAAUACCGCAUAUGCCUUAGCAACACAUGUUGCAAAAGGGAAAGGAGUAAUCCGCUGAUAGAUGGGCUUGCGCCUGAUUAG
rnacentral:rRNA from 1 species